rnacentral:rRNA from 1 species
UACGGAGGGAGCUAGCGUUGUUCGGAAUUACUGGGCGUAAAGCGCACGUAGGCGGCUUUGUAAGUUAGAGGUGAAAGCCCGGGGCUCAACCCCGGAAUUGCCUUUAAGACUGCAUCGCUUGAAUCCGGGAGAGGUGAGUGGAAUUCCGAGUGUAGAGGUGAAAUUCGUAGAUAUUCGGAAGAACACCAGUGGGCGAAGGCGGGUCUGCUGGGCCGUAACUGACGCUGAGGAGCGAAAGCGUGGGGAGCGA